GUUCCUAUAGUUCAAUGGAUAGAAUAGAAGUUUCCUAAACUUUAGAUGUAGGUUCGACUCCUGCUAGGAACA
rnacentral:tRNA from 2 species